CUCUUGUUUAAGCUUAAAUUAGGCAAUGUUUUUCCCAGUUUCUCUGGAUAAAACUUUUUUAUACUAUUAAAAGUACACUUUUUUUUUAUUCCAUUAUAAACUAGAGAACAUUCUGAUUCCAGUGAUAUCUAGUUUUAUACAAGUAUCUUUAUUAAUCAGUCCACCACUAAGGGUCACUUAUACAUGGUCCCUCAAAAUAUGACGUCAUAGAAAAAAACUGUUGAUUGCACCCUUAACAAGAAAAGAAAACUCUCCACCAGAAAUCAAGUGACAUCGAAGUUAACUGUUAACAUGUACAACAAUAGGUCACUUUACAUCCUUCAACAAUGACUAUGAGCAAAGCCAAUACUGCAUAUUCAGUUUUUAAGGACCCUAUAUGAGAAUCACAAAUUUGUAAAUCAAUUCAAACAAGAAAACUAAGAGACUGAUUUAUACAAUGUAAAAUAUAAAAAACAGAACAAAAAAAAAUAUGAUAAACAGCAAGAUAAGACAAAUUGAACCACUAAAUUACACUUAUUUAGUUAGAAAUAUGUGUCGGAUGACCCCUCUUGCUAACUAACAUGCCAACAU
rnacentral:lncRNA from 1 species